UUUAAUUAUCAUAUAUAAAAGUGAAAAUACAAAAUAUAAAUUAAUUUUAGUUGGGGCAACUGGAAGGGAUAAAAAUCUUUUAUUAAAUCAUUUAUAGUAAUAUUUAUAUUUAUGAUCCAAAUUAGUUAAUUUUGAACUUAGAAU
rnacentral:rRNA from 1 species